rnacentral:rRNA from 1 species
CCCUUAGAUGUCCGGGGCUGCACGCGCGCUACACUAUAGAAAGCAGCGUGCUUUAAAACCUUUCCUGAAAAGGAUGGGUAACCCCAGCAAAAUUCUACGUGCUUGGGAUAGAGAUUUGCAAUUUUCUCUCUUGAACGAGGAAUUCCCAGUAAGUGCGAGUCAUCAGCUCGCGUUGAUUACGUCCCUGCCCUUUGUACACACCGCCCGUCGCUACUACCGAUUGGGAAAAUUUUAGAGAGUCCUGGACUGAUGAUUGUUCGGCUUCACGGCCUUACUUUCGUCGGGAAAGAAUUCGAUAAUAUUUUUCUAGAGGAAGUAAAAGUCGUAACA